rnacentral:rRNA from 1 species
AACGAACGCUGGCGGCAUGCCUAACACAUGCAAGUCGAACGAGACCUUCGGGUCUAGUGGCGCACGGGUGCGUAACGCGUGGGAACCUGCCCUUAGGUUCGGAAUAACUCCCCGAAAGGGGUGCUAAUACCGGAUAAUGUCUUCGGACCAAAGAUUUAUCGCCUUUGGAUGGGCCCGCGUCGGAUUAGCUAGUUGGUAGGGUAAAAGCCUACCAAGGCGACGAUCCAUAGCUGGUCUGAGAGGAUGAUCAGCCACACUGGGACUGAGACACGGCCCAGACUCCUACGGGAGGCAGCAGUGGGGAAUAUUGGACAAUGGGCGAAAGUCUGAUCCAGCAAUGCCGCGUGAGUGAUGAAGGCCUUAGGGUUGUAAAGCUCUUUUACCCGGGAUGAUAAUGACAGUACCGGGAGAAUAAGCUCCGGCUAACUCCGUG